AGUGCGCAUGCGCAGUCGGUUGACAGCUAACUAGCGCAGCGCAGCUUCACAGCAGCAGCUGAUGCUAACCAGCUAACCAGCUAACCGCAGCGGUUACCGGUUACCGUCGGUUACCGUCGGUUACACGUUAACCGUCACACUCACACUCUACACCCUGCCGGAGCCGGAGAGAUUCAUCGACCGUAACUGAAGCCAGUAUGUUGCUGCACAGCUCUUCUUCGUGUGUGUUAGUGUAGUGGAGUUAGCCGGCUAGCUAGUGGUAGCACUGAUUAGCAUCAAGGCUAGCUAGCUGAAGUUCCUGCGGCGGGUGUUUCACUAAGCUCUCCGUCACCAUGGGGAUACUCUUCACCAAGCUCUGGAGGCUGUUCAACCAUCAAGAGCACAAAGUUAUUAUCGUGGGCCUGGACAAUGCUGGCAAGACCACUAUUCUUUACCAGUUUUCAAUGAAUGAGGUGGUGCACACCUCUCCUACGAUUGGGAGCAACGUGGAGGAGAUUGUGGUCAACAACACUCAUUUCCUGAUGUGGGACAUCGGGGGCCAGGAGUCCCUUAGGUCAUCGUGGAACACGUACUACACAAACACAGAGUUUGUCAUUGUGGUGGUCGACAGCACAGACAGAGAACGGAUCUCAGUGACCAAAGAGGAACUCUACAGAAUGCUAGCACAUGAAGAUUUAAGAAAGGCAGGGCUGUUGAUCUUUGCCAACAAGCAGGAUGUGAAAGGUUGCAUGUCUGUGGCCGAGAUCUCCCAGAGCCUCCAGCUUACCUCUGUCAAAGACCACCAGUGGCACAUCCAGGCCUGCUGCGCCCUCACUGGGGAGGGGGAGCAUGAUGAGCAGCUACAGGAGUAGAGAGGAGAGAGAGAGCCAGAGUUAAAGUCAGCGGAGGCAUUCAGGGAGAGAAGAAGAGACCCAGCAGCAUACAGGAGGGGAGGGGCCUGUUUCAAAUUCAAGGUGAGCUGAUUACAGAGCUCCGUCAGAGAGAGCUCCGUCAGAGAGCUCCGUCAGAGAGAGCUCCGUCAGAGAGAGCUCCGUCAGAGAGCUCCGUCAGAGAGAGCUCCGUCAGAGAGCUCCCUGAAGGAGAAGGACCGUUAACACCGAGGAGAGAGUCCGUCCUCUCUGCUGCUCCCACCGGGUACUCUGACAGAGCUGUGGGUCUGUUUUUGAAACAACGUGGUGGAAUGACUACAGAGCCAACUGCUGUUCGGACAUUGGUGCUCAGAGGGCUUCCCAUUGUCCUUGGUGACAACCCCACAGACUUCUACAGAGCAGGCUUUGAUGCUGAUGAUGAUGACUCAUUCCGCCACAUCGAGAUUGGAAUCCUCCAGGUUGAGCCUGAAGGUGCUGCGGUUACAUCUUCCCUGCAUCUCAGUCCAGCCUCUUUGAAGGUCAUCAUUGAGGGAGAAGUUGUGAUGGACAACAUUAAAAACCUUCCUACAGCGAUGUGCCUUCUGUUUGGACUUUCAUAUGCACUGCAUCUCAACUACCACAAGUCUAUGAAGUUCACAUUCCAGUUCAUCCAACGGGUACCUCUCACGUUGGGCCACAGUGAACUAAAACCAAGGUUACAAACCUUGAGGAACCAGCUUGCAAUGUAAAGAAAUGCUAUGUUAAGUCUACUGUGAGAAGCCAUGGCUGGUUUUUUUUUUUUCACGGCGUGCCAUGCAGCCGCAGUCAAUAUAGGUCAGUAUAUGUGAGGUGGUCUCAAAGGAGGCUACACGCACGCACGCACGCACGCACGCACGCACGCACGCACACAAAAUCCAUAAGGUGCUCCCAUAUAAAAAACAUUUGAGCUGUGCCUUUUUUUGGUCUACCUGUAUCUGUCGGAGUACAAAUAUUUACAUUCUGGUGUGUGUCUAUUGUUAUGAGGAUGAUGUUCUGUAGCAUAAUGAAUAUGUGAACACUAUAUGUACAGUAUGUAUGCUUGUAUAUAAUGUUUAGGUCUUAGAUGCAGAGUCAGCUCAACCAGGACGUGAGUGGCACAUUUUAAAGCACAAACACAUAUACAGACACUUGUGACUGCUCUUCAGCUGCUAUCGUUGACAUCAGCAUUCAAGUUUGAUAAAUGCAACACAAAAGCCUCUCAUGGUUUCAUUCCCCUUGGUCAAAAAGGAUAUAGGGAACAAACAGGUGCUUGUUAUUUUGUAUUAUGUAAGAUGUGAUUCAAGUUUGAGGGACAGGAAUAUCCACCCACUUGUGUUUUACAGUACAGGAUGUAGAAGUGUAUGUUCAGGACUGUAUAUUAGUGCUCACCUCAUUUGAUUUAUUACAUGGCUUUGUUGAAUAGUCGAUUUCUUUAGAGUAGACUGUUGCUAUGUUUAAUACUCCGCAGCUAUGGCUGAGUUCAAGUUGUUUUGUUGUCAAUAAAAUAAUUUGGCAAAUUUAAA